AACGAACGCUGGCGGCAUGCCUAACACAUGCAAGUCGAACGAGACCUUCGGGCCUAGUGGCGCACGGGUGCGUAACGCGUGGGAACCUGCCCUUAGGUUCGGAAUAACUCCCCGAAAGGGGUGCUAAUACCGGAUAAUGUCUUCGGACCAAAGAUUUAUCGCCUUUGGAUGGGCCCGCGUUGGAUUAGCUAGUUGGUAGGGUACAAGCCUACCAAGGCGACGAUGCAUAGCUGGUCUGAGAGGAUGAUCAUCCACACUGGGACUGAGACACGGCCCAGACUCCUACGGGAGGCAGCAGUGGGGAAUAUUGGACGAUGGGCGAAAGCCUGAUCCAGCAAUGCGGCGUGAGUGAUGAAGGCCUUAGGGUUGUAAAGCUGUUUUACCCGGGAUGAUAAUGACGGUACCGGGAGAAUAAGCUCCGGCUAACUACGUG
rnacentral:rRNA from 1 species